GCUAGCAUGGCUCAGUGGUUGAGUGUCUACCUAUGAACCAGGAGGUUACAGGUUUGAUUCCUAUUCAGAGCA
rnacentral:tRNA from 1 species